AGCAGAUUCAAAAUAGCAAAUUCAAAUUUAGGAUGUGAAUGGGCUUGUACUGAAAAUUUCGUAUUUGAAAUCCUUUUCAAAAUUUGUUUUACAUAUCGAGGGUCAUUUCCCCAUCGCCAAACAAAAUGCUUUUUCUACUAAAGAUGGGUCAUUGUCUCCAACUUCUCACUCGACAUUGCCCCGCUCACCACUGCACGCCUCUUUCACAUUUCCUCCUUGUAAUCCCUCGCUUCCUGAUUUGGAUAUUCAAAUGAGCAAUCCAAACUUUUAAAUCUGAGAGGUAGUUGUUCCUCUAAGAAAGGAUGAGAAUGCUUGCUCCAAGAUUCAAGCAAUCACAUAUCCUUUCAAGCAAUAAAUGGGAAAAACUUGGAGCAAAGGGAGCCUCAGCUUACCAAGGAUGAAGAUGAGGAUGAGCAAUAGGCCAAGGAUGAGGAUCAACAAGUUGAAUGUGAAGGAGCUGUCAUUAUUGGCUUGGAU